UUUCGUAGAUUUAAUGUAUUAGUGUGUCAGUAAAACUAUAAUACUUAAUUUUGAAUUACGUUGUAAUUAGAUUAUUACGAAAUUGGUUUAACGAAAAUAACAUUUCGUAACAAAUAAAUUUUUUUAAUUGUAGUAGUCACCGAGUUAAAAUACUCUUUCUCGUAAACUCUUGUACACUUAAUCUUCUUACCAGCUUUUACUGUUCUUCUUUGAACCCAGUAAUUGAUUCUAAAUUAACAAUGGCUUCUCUUCUGCUGAUUCUCCAUUUUUCUUCAUAUGGUUGGUCUGCAAUAUAAAAAUAUAUUGAUCAUUGUCUUUGAAAAUUCUAAGUGAAGUCACCUUUAAAGUCAAUAUGGAGAAAAGUCAAGAGAAAGAUUAAGUCAAAAGUAAUAUCACCAGCACCGAAACUUGUAAUUUUCCAGGAAACCGUGUAGACUGAGAAAAAGAAGUCCAUCAAGUUCAUUGCAGAUGCAUAAUUAGACUUUGUUAUAAGUAAAGAAAAUAAAAAAAGAUAUCUAAAAAUGGCUACUGUUUCUUCCUGUCUGUGUUUGAUCUUACCUUUUGUCCUCCUUCUGGUACCCACAAUUGCUCAAACUCACAGCAAUGUAACUUCAGGCUCAUUUCUUACUGCAA
rnacentral:lncRNA from 1 species